GAUGAACGCUGGCGGCGUGCCUAAUACAUGCAAGUCGAGCGAACGGACGAGAAGCUUGCUUCUCUGAUGUUAGCGGCGGACGGGUGAGUAACACGUGGAUAACCUACCUAUAAGACUGGGAUAACUUCGGGAAACCGGAGCUAAACCCGGAUAAUAUUUUGAACCGCAUGGUUCAAAAGUGAAAGACGGUCUUGCUGUCACUUAUAGAUGGAUCCGCGUUGCAUUAGCUAGUUGGUAAGGUAACGGCUUACCAAGGCAACGAUGCAUAGCCGACCUGAGAGGGUGAUCGGCCACACUGGAACUGAGACACGGUCCAGACUCCUACGGGAGGCAGCAGUAGGGAAUCUUCCGCAAUGGGCGAAAGCCUGACGGAGCAACGCCGCGUGAGUGAUGAAGGUCUUCGGAUCGUAAAACUCUGUUAUUAGGGAAGAACAUAUGUGUAAGUAACUGUGCACAUCUUGACGGUACCUAAUCAGAAAGCCACGGCUAACUACGUG
rnacentral:rRNA from 1 species